UACGUAGGCAGCGAGCGUUGUUCGGAGUUACUGGGCGUAAAGGGUGUGUAGGCGGUUUUCUAAGUUUGGUGUGAAAUCUCCCGGCUUAACCGGGAGGGUGCGCCGAAAACUGGGAGACUAGAGUGCGGGAUGGGAGAGUAGAAUUCCUGGUGUAGCGGUGAAAUGCGUAGAUAUCAGGAGGAAUACCGGUGGUGCAGACGGCUCUCUGGACCGCAACUGACGCUGAGACACGAAAGCUAGGGGAGCAAACAGG
rnacentral:rRNA from 1 species